UCAAGGUUUCAAAAGAGACAGACUUAGUACAGAGACAGUGAGGCAAUAGCACCCCAGUGUCAGGGAAAGAAACUUGUUCUCCCAGGGAUUGUUAACAUGGGCAUAAUGAGAAGGGAGUUAUUCAUCCUUAUCUUCAAAACAGAUGCUCUUUACCUCAAUGGUUAAAGCAGAUGAGCUGUGAGGGUUGGACAGGCUGUCUUAGUUCAUACACAGUUCAGGCUGAACCUGAACAUGGGUGAGCCAAAAUGACUUCCACAUUCCUCAAUAUGUGAAUAUUUUCUCCAUCACAGGCAUAUAAAAAUCUUAGAACCAUAUGAUCUAGCAAUUCUACUUCUGAGAAUAUAUCCAAAAGAAUUGAAAGCACACUCUGAAAGAGCUAUUUGUAAACUCCUAUUCAUAGCAUUUGAUAUCAAAUGCAAAAUUCAUAGCAUUAUUCACAGUAACUAAAGCAUGAAAGCAAGCCAAAUGCCAUUGACCAAGAAAGGGUAAGUCAAAUGUGAUAUGUGUCAAUAAUAGAGUAUUAUUUAUCAUUACAAAGGAAGGGAAUUCUAAACAAGCUACAACAUGGAGGAAACUUGUGGACACUUUACUAAGUGAUAUAAGCCUGACAGGAAACAACUAAUAAAUAUUCUAUGAUUCCACUUAAGUAAAGGACCUGGAGUGGUCAGUUUCACAGAGACAGAGAGCAAAAUGGUGAUUGCCAGGAACUGUGAAGGAGAAAGGGGGAAUUGAUGAAUGGGUGCAGAGUUUAGGUUUUGCCAGAUGAAAAAAAGUCCUGGAGUUUGGUUGGACAAAAUGUGAAUGUACUUAACGCGAUUGAACUGGACACUUAAAGAUGGUUAAAAUGGUCAAUUUUAUUUUAUGAAUAUUAUACUGGAACAAAAAUCAUCUUGGAACUAUUCCCCGAGGGUAACCACAGAAGAGUCAGGGCUGAUAGCAACACGGCAGAUGCUCCCCGCCCACCCAGCCCCAUCUCCACCCCAACAACCCAGGGGUGAGGACUGUCUUCUGUGCUCAGGACUCCCCACUUCAGUUCUUGGAGAUGUCUCAGCCCCAGCCUCGCACGGCUUAACCUCAGCCUCCCUGACUGACCCAGUGCUCCAGGCUCUGCUCCAAGGGUCCAGUAAGUCUCGGGUCACCCUCUUCUGUGGGAGACUGGGCGCUGAGUUCACAUCCUCCCAAAGAGACCUCUGCAACCUCAGAGUGCAGGGGGAGUCAGCCUGGCUCCAGCCUGAGGGUGGAGAGACCCAUUUUCUACAUGAAAGCAGGAGCUGGGAGUGUGUGGGAAAAAAAGGUGUGUGGGGGAGGAGGGGGGUGAUUGGACCAGUGUCCUGAUGAUAUGUGAAUAUUUUUGUCUCAUAUAAUAGCAAUAAUUACCCUUAUACAGUGAGUGUGACACGUGGACCACUGAUUUCCGUCUUCACUAUACUCGCUGCCCUCUGUGUCUGUGGGUUCCUCAUCUGAAGAUACGGGAGUAACUGCAAGAAACUUGGGCAUCUAUGGAUUUGGGUAUUCAUGAGGGGUGACAGUUUGAUGAUUUAUAUUCAAUUACUUUUGGGUUUGCUACACCCAGCCCUGGUGGCUCAGAUGGUAAAGAAUCUGCUUGUAAUGCAGGAGACCUGGUUUUGAUCCCUGAGUCUCAAAGAUUCCCUAGAGAAAGAAAUGGCAACCCACUCCAGCAUUUUUGUCUGGAGAAGCCCAUGGACAGAGGAGCCUGGCAGGCCAUAGUCCAAGGGGUCACAAAGAGUCGGACAAGACUGAAUGACUAAUACACACACACCCAGCAACUCUGUGAAGCCAGUUCUAUUAUUUACCAUUGGUAGCAAUGUAAACAAUGGAGGUAUAAUACAAGUUACAUGAAAUUACCAUCUUAGCCAUUUUUAAGUGUUGUUGUUCAGUCACUAAGCUGUGUCUGACUCUUUGAGACCUCAUGGAGUGUAGCCUGCCAGGCUUCCCUGUGCUGCACUAUAUCCUGGAGUUUGCUCAAAUUCAUAUCCAUUGAGUCGACAAUGCCACCCAACCAUCUCAUCCCCUGUCACCCCCUUCUCUUCCUGCCCUCCAUCUUUCCUAGCAUCAGGGUUAACAAAUUCAAAUUGCUUCAUAUGGUGGGCCCAUAAAAAUUCUGAGGCACAAUCAGGUAAUUGAGGGUUAUACACUCCCCUGAGCUGAGGAGAAGGAAGUAGGGAUCUGGGGCUUCAAAAGGGAGGAAGACAACUUACAGGAAAAUGGGAAGAACAAAUGCUUGGGAAAAAAUAUUUGUGGCUCCAGGCAGGAGAGUCUUUCUGAGAUAAAAAGUUAUCCCUGCUAAUAGGUCCUGGCAUAGGUUACCUAAUCUAAAUGAUUUUGAGCCAUAAAGUGAGAGGAAAAAAGAUUUUUUUGAGUCUGCAGCAUCUUAAUUGUGUUCAGCUCAAAACAACCCACAAGCCAAAGUCACACAUUUUAGGGUGAUAUUUUCUGCUCCCCCAACUUCUCUUCAGCCACCCUUCCAGUAACUUUGAAACAUAUUAAAAGGUGUAUUUAUGCUUAAGGGACAAAAGCUCAGAGAUGGAGAACUUUCCCAGUGAGUCCUUUUACCACCUGCUCCCCGUCACUCUCCUGGUGGUUCAGAUGGUAAAGAAUCUGCCUGCAACUCAGGAGACAUAAGGGACCCGGGUUCAAUCCCUGGGUCAGGAAGAUCCCCUGGAGAAGGAAAUAGCAACCCACUCCAGUAUUCUUGCCUGGAGAAUCCCAUGGACAGAGGGGCCUGGCCCGGGUGGGCUACAGCCCAUGGGGUCACAAAGAGUUAGACACGACGGAGUGACUCACUAUUCACUCACUUCCCCAUCACUCCAUUGCUUUGUGGAAUUGGACUCCCAGGGCCAAGGGCAGAUGGACAUUCUUUCUUCUAACAUUUGUUUUGUUGAAGUAAAGUUGAUUUAUAAUGUAUUAACUUUGGCUGUACGGCAAAGGGAUUCAGUUAUAUAUAUGUAUUUUGGUGCUUUUUGAUAUUCUUUUCCAUUAUGGUUUAUCACAGGAUAUUGAACAGAGUUUCCUGGGUUACACAGUAGGACCUUGUGUAGGAUGGACAUUCUUGAUGGCUCUGUGUCUUGUUUUCUCAGCAGAUCGUGGUCUCCUCAACUAUGUCUAGGAUGCUGUGUCAGUAUGUUCGCCAGUUUGGUCAGAAGCUGGUCCGCAGGCAGCAGCUGGAGCCCAUAGAAGAAUCUGAGAGUCCCACGACUCAUCUGAACAUCCUAGAUCUGGUUGUCUUGGGUGUGGGCAGAAGCCUGGGAGCCGGCGUAUACGUCUUGAUUGGCUUCAUUGCCAAGCUAAUAGCUGGACCAUCAGUUAUCAUCUGCUUCUUGGUGGACUCCCUGUCUUCUGUGUUGUUUGGGCUCUGCUAUGCUGAGCUGGGGGCCCGGAUACCACAUGUUGGUUCUAUGUAUCUCCAUAGCUAUGUCAUCAUGGGACAACUGUGUGCCUUUGUCAUUGGCUGGAACCUCAUUUUGUCCUUAUUAGUUGGCACUGCUUGUGUGGCCAAGGCCUGGAGCAUCGCCUUUGACAGCCUCACUGGGAACCACUGGGAACUCUCAGGCGUUAGAAGGAACCUUCUCUCCGUAUAUGCCCUCUGCCCUUGGCACUUUCCCCGACUUUGUCAUGCUGGGCCCGCUGCUGCUGAUUACUGCCUCCUUGGAGCCAUGUUUGUCUUGUCUCGGUUGAUCUGUGCAAUGGCAGAUAAUGGGCUCCUUCUCCAGGGACUUGGAUGGAUCCAUGCUGGUACCCACAGCCCCAUCAUAGCCAUCCUGGCUUCUGGAACUCUUGCAGCAAUCGUGGCAUUACCCUUCGAGCUCUGAGAUAUUGUGGAAUUCAUGUUAAUUGGGAUCAUGCUUGCUUACACCCUUGUGGCUUUUCCUGUGCUUGUCCUCAGGUACCAGGCAGAUCAGAAUUUCAGCAAGAAUAAGAAAACAGAGGAAGAAACUGAGGUGGGGCCUGUAACUGAAGAAAGUCCUUCAGGAUCUAUACCUGAAGCAAGAAU